CAUGGAUCCUCUGCCUGAGAUGGACGCUGGUUAGAAUCUCUGAGAAGCUCCUUAAGCAAAAAGGUAAACCACUCAAAAGAGCGUCGGGGAAAUCCCUGAAACUGACAUGAUUCACUAGGCCCUUCCCUGCCAGAAACCUUCAUCUGGCGAUGGAUGGAGAUAGAGACAGAGACCCACACUGG